rnacentral:rRNA from 1 species
UGGGAAUUUGGAUCAAUGGGAACCGACGAUCAGCCAUCCGCCGUGUGCGAUGAAGGCCUUCGGGUUGUAAAGCACUUUUGGCAGGAAAGAAACGUCGCGGGUUAAUACCCGCCGAACAAUGACGGUACCUGCAGAAUAAGCACCGGCUAACUACGUGCCAGCAGCCGCGGUAAUACGUAGGGUGCAAGCGUUAAUCGGAAUUACUGGGCGUAAAGCGUGCGCAGGCGGUUCGGAAAGAAAGAUGUGAAAUCCCAGAGCUUAACUUUGGAACUGCAUUUUUAACUACCGGGCUAGAGUGUGUCAGAGGGAGGUGGAAUUCCGCGUGUAGCAGUGAAAUGCGUAGAUAUGCGGAGGAACACCGAUGGCGAAGGCAGCCUCCUGGGAUAACACUGACGCUCAUGCACGAAAGCGUGGGGAGCAAACAGGAUUAGAUACCCU